GGAUGGAGGGAUAGAGAGAUGGAGGGAUAGAGGGUAUAGAGGAGUGGAUGGAGGCAUAGAGGGUAUAGAGGAGUGGAUGGAGGCAUAGAGAGAUGGAGGGAUAGAGGGUAUAGAGGAGUGGAUGGAGGGAUAGAGAGAUGGAGGGAUAGAGGGUAUAGAGGAGUGGAUGGAGGCACAGAGGGUAUAGAGGAGUGGAUGGAGGCAUAGAGAGAUGGAGGGAUAGAUGGUAUAGAGGAGUGGAUAGAGGGAUAGAGGGUAUAGAGGAGUGGAUGGAGGGAAGGAGGGUAUAGAGGAGUGGAUGGAGGGAUUGAGGGUAUAGGGGAGUGGAUGGAGGGAUAGAGGGUAUAGAGGAGUGGAUGGAGGGAUAGAGGGUAUAGAGGAGUGGAUGGAGGGAUAGAGGGUAUAGAGGAGUGGAUGGAGGCACAGAGAGGUGGAGGGAUAGAGGGUAUAGAGGAGUGGAUGAAGGGAUAGAGAGAUGGAGGGAUAGGGAGAGAGAGUGGAUGGAGGCAUAGAGGGUAUAGAGGAGUGGAUGGAGGGAUAGAUGAUAUAGGAGUGGAUGGAGGGAUAGAGGGUAUAGAGGAGUGGAUGGAGGCAUAGAGAGAUGGAGGGGUAGAGGGUAUAGAGGAGUGGAUGGAGGGAUAGAGGGUAUAGAGGAGUGGAUGGAGGCAUAGAGAGAUGGAGGGAUAGAUGGUAUAGAGGAGUGGAUGGAGGGAUAGAGGGUAUAGAGGAGUGGAUGGAGGGAUAGAGGGUAUAGAGGAGUGGAUGGAGGGAUAGAGGGUAUAGAAGAGUGGAUGGAGGGAUAGAGGGUAUAGAGGAGUGGAUGGAGUUAUAGAGGAGUGGAUGGAGGGAUAGAGGGUAUAGAGGAGUGGAUGGAGGUAUAGAGGAGUGGAUGGAGGGAUAGAGGGUAUAGAGGAGUGGAUGGAGGUAUAGAGGAGUGGAUGGAGGGAUAGAGGGUAUAGAGGAGUGGAUGGAGGAAUAGAGGGUAUAGAGGAGUGGAUGGAGGGAUAGAGGGUAUAGAGGAGUGGAUGGAGGGAUAGAGGGUAUAGAGGAGUGGAUGGAGGGAUAGAGGGUAUAGAGGAGUGGAUGGAGGGAUAGAGGGUAUAGAGAAGUGGAUGGAGGGAUAGAGGGUAUAGAGGAGUGGAUGGAGGGAUGGAGAGGGUAUAGAGGAGUGGAUGGAGGGAUAGAGGGUAUAGAGGAGUGGAUGGAGGGAUAGAGGGUAUAGAGGAGUGGAUGGAGGGAUAGAGGGUAUAGAGGAGUGGAUGGAGGGAUAGAGGGUAUAGAGAAGUGGAUGGAGGUAUAGAGGAGUGGAUGGAGGGAUAGAGGGUAUAGAGGAGUGGAUGGAGGGAUAGAGGGUAUAGAGGAGUGGAUGGAGGGAUAGAGGGUAUAGAGGAGUGGAUGGAGGGAUAGAGGGUAUAGAGGAGUGGAUGGAGGGAUAGAGGGUAUAGAGGAGUGGAUGGAGGGAUAGAGGGUAUAGAGGAGUGGAUGGAGGGAUAGAGGGUAUAGAGGAGUGGAUGGAGGGAUAGAAGGUAUAGAGGAGUGGAUGGAGGGAUAGAGAGAUGGAGGGAUAUAGGGUAUAGAGGAGUGGAUGGAGGCAUAGAGGGUAUAGAGGAGUGGAUGGAGGCAUAGAGAUUGAGGGAUAGAGGGUAUAGAGGAGUGGAUGGAGGGAUAGAGAGAUGGAGGGAUAGUGGGUAUAGAGGAGUGGAUGGAGGCAUAGAGGGUAUAGAGGAGUGGAUGGAGGCAUAGAGAGAUGGAGGGAUAGAGGGUAUAGAGGAGUGGAUGGAGGCAUAGAGAGAUGGAGGGAUAGAGGGUAUAGAGGAGUGGAUGGAGGGAUAGAGGGUAUAGAGGAGUGGAUGGAGGCAUAGAGAGAUGGAGGGAUAGAGGGUAUAGAGGAGUGGAUGGAGGCACAGAGAGAUGGAGGGAUAGAGGGUAUAGAGGAGUGGAUGGAGGCAUAGAGAGAUGGAGGGAUAGAGGGUAUAGAGGAGUGGAUGGAGGGAUAGAGAGAUGGAGGGAUAGAGGGUAUAGAGGAGUGGAUGGAGGCAUAGAGGGUAUAGAGGAGUGGAUGGAGGCAUAGAGAGAUGGAGGGAUAGAUGGUAUAGAGGAGUGGAUAGAGGGAUAGAGGGUAUAGAGGAGUGGAUGGAGGGAUAGAGGGUAUAGAGGAGUGGAUGGAUG
ensembl:lncRNA